rfam:Mycobacterium asiaticum strain 1245139.5 contig_71, whole genome shotgun sequence.
UGUUUGGAGAGUUUGAUUCUGGCUCAGGACGAACGCUGGCGGCGUGCUUAACACAUGCAAGUCGAACGGAAAGGCCCCUUCGGGGGUACUCGAGUGGCGAACGGGUGAGUAACACGUGGGUGAUCUGCCCUGCACUUUGGGAUAAGCCUGGGAAACUGGGUCUAAUACCGAAUAGGACCACGGGAUGCAUGUCCUGUGGUGGAAAGCUUUUGCGGUGUGGGAUGGGCCCGCGGCCUAUCAGCUUGUUGGUGGGGUGACGGCCUACCAAGGCGACGACGGGUAGCCGGCCUGAGAGGGUGUCCGGCCACACUGGGACUGAGAUACGGCCCAGACUCCUACGGGAGGCAGCAGUGGGGAAUAUUGCACAAUGGGCGCAAGCCUGAUGCAGCGACGCCGCGUGGGGGAUGACGGCCUUCGGGUUGUAAACCUCUUUCACCAUCGACGAAGGUCCGGUUUCCGGAUUGACGGUAGGUGGAGAAGAAGCACCGGCCAACUACGUGCCAGCAGCCGCGGUAAUACGUAGGGUGCGAGCGUUGUCCGGAAUUACUGGGCGUAAAGAGCUCGUAGGUGGUUUGUCGCGUUGUUCGUGAAAUCUCACGGCUUAACUGUGAGCGUGCGGGCGAUACGGGCAGACUUGAGUACUGCAGGGGAGACUGGAAUUCCUGGUGUAGCGGUGGAAUGCGCAGAUAUCAGGAGGAACACCGGUGGCGAAGGCGGGUCUCUGGGCAGUAACUGACGCUGAGGAGCGAAAGCGUGGGGAGCGAACAGGAUUAGAUACCCUGGUAGUCCACGCCGUAAACGGUGGGUACUAGGUGUGGGUUUCCUUCCUUGGGAUCCGUGCCGUAGCUAACGCAUUAAGUACCCCGCCUGGGGAGUACGGCCGCAAGGCUAAAACUCAAAGAAAUUGACGGGGGCCCGCACAAGCGGCGGAGCAUGUGGAUUAAUUCGAUGCAACGCGAAGAACCUUACCUGGGUUUGACAUGCACAGGACGCCGGCAGAGAUGUCGGUUCCCUUGUGGCCUGUGUGCAGGUGGUGCAUGGCUGUCGUCAGCUCGUGUCGUGAGAUGUUGGGUUAAGUCCCGCAACGAGCGCAACCCUUGUCUCAUGUUGCCAGCGGGUAAUGCCGGGGACUCGUGAGAGACUGCCGGGGUCAACUCGGAGGAAGGUGGGGAUGACGUCAAGUCAUCAUGCCCCUUAUGUCCAGGGCUUCACACAUGCUACAAUGGCCGGUACAAAGGGCUGCGAUGCCGCGAGGUUAAGCGAAUCCUUUUAAAGCCGGUCUCAGUUCGGAUCGGGGUCUGCAACUCGACCCCGUGAAGUCGGAGUCGCUAGUAAUCGCAGAUCAGCAACGCUGCGGUGAAUACGUUCCCGGGCCUUGUACACACCGCCCGUCACGUCAUGAAAGUCGGUAACACCCGAAGCCAGUGGCCUAACCCUUUGGGAGGGAGCUGUCGAAGGUGGGAUCGGCGAUUGGGACGAAGUCGUAACAAGGUAGCCGUACCGGAAGGUGCGGCUGGAUCACCUCCUUU